AAUUGUUCAAACAAAAAAGUGGGGCAUAAAGUAUUAUUAGGAAUUUUCAAAACUUCAGUGAAACAUGUGGAAUUCAUUCCAAAACCAGAUCAAACUGUUGAAGUUUUAUUACAGAGCAAUAACCAAGGUCGUGAAAGUGGAAACAAAAGUCAAGAAUAUGGCUGCUUACAGGAUAAAACAUCAUCAGCUACACAAAAACAUCAGAAAAAACAAAGAAAUAAUGGAAAAAAAAGGUUAAAUCAAUUGAGAUGCUUGGAAGAAAUGUGCCAUUUUAACUGUACUAGAUUAAAAAGCCUUCGUUAUCAUUAAGAGUUGAAACAUAAUAUUUUGCAAGAAGUGGAAGUACUACAGUUUGAAAACAUUAAAGAAUUUAAAAAAUGGAAAAAUCAGGAGGAAAGCAAAUGUGUGGCAGUAUGGGUAAAAGCAUGUGGUAUUAAAAAAAAUAGACAAGGUGCACCUAUUUAUUACUAUUGUAAUCGAACUGGUAAAAGGAAAGUUUUGGCAGCAGCAAAAAGGAAACGUGCCCUAAAAGGGCAGGGCUCAUGCAAAAUUAAUGCUUCCUGUACUUCAGCCCUUA